UGCCAGCAGCCGCGGUAAUACGUAUGGUGCAAGCGUUGUUCGGAGUCACUGGGCGUAAAGGGCACGCAGGUGGAUUAUUAAGUUGGAUGUGAAAACUAUGGGCUCAACCCGUAGCCUGCAUUCAAAACUGUUAAUCUGGAGUCUCGGAGAGGUAAGCGGAAUACUAGGUGUAGCGGUGAAAUGCGUAGAUAUCUGGUGGAACACCAAUGGCGAAGGCAGCUUACUGGACGAUGACUGACACUGAGGUGCGAAAGCGUGGGUAGCAAACAGGAUUAGAUA
rnacentral:rRNA from 1 species